rnacentral:rRNA from 1 species
CAAAGUCAUUCUACCCUUAAAGCUCCUCAUCUCACUUGAUCUUCUCAGCUACGCAAAGUUGGGGACGGUUAGUACUUGGAUAGGAGACCGCAUGGGAAUAAUACAUUAUGGCUGUGU